UACAGAGGUCCCGAGCGUUGUUCGGAUUCACUGGGCGUAAAGGGUGCGCAGGUGGCUUGACAAGUUUGAUGUGAAAUCUCCGGGCCCAACCCGGAAAAUGCAUUGAAUACUGUUGAGCUUGAGGUUUGGAGGGGGGACUGGAAUUCUUGGUGUAGCAGUGAGAUGCGUAGAUAUCAAGAGGAACACCAGUGGCGAAGGCGAGUCCCUGGACAACACCUGACACUGAGGCACGAAAGCCGGGGGAGCAAACAGG
rnacentral:rRNA from 1 species